AUGAACUCUGGGGGACCUGGAAUCCUGGCGGGAAAUAUUAGACAUGACAGCCAAUGCUUUUCGAACGCCAUGUGGAAACAUAGUUCUCCAACAGUACCUAUCCAUCCGACUGGAUCCAGAUUUCCUCCCAAACUUAAAGCACGUCACCCUACAAAGGAGAGGCUUGAUGAUGAUAAGCAAAUAAAGGACAUCAGGCUUUCAAGCUUUCAAGCUUUCUGUGUGGGUGAGGAGUUGACUUCCUUCUCCCCAAACACACACACCCUCGCACGCAGGCCCACUCGCAGCCUCUUCAACCUGCCAGCCGCUCUUCUUACCGAGGGAGAGACAGAUAGAGAAUCGCUUUUAAGAAAAUUCAGCUCGAGGGUCAAGUUUACGCUGGCCAAAAUCCGCAAGGCCGCCCGGGAGCUGCUGACGCUAGACGGAAAGGACCCGCGGCGUCUGUUUGAAGGCAAUGCCCUGCGGCGGCGACUUGCCCGCAUUGGGGUGCGGGAUGAGGGCAAGAUGAAGCUGGAUAGCAUCCUGGGCCCGAAGAUCGAGGAUUUCUUGGAGAGGCGCCUGCAGACCCAGGUCUUCAAGCUGGGCCUGGCCAAGUCCAUUCAUCAUGCUCGUGUGCUGAUCCGCCAGCGCCGUAUCAGGGGCCGCAAGCAGGUUGUGGACAUCCCGUCCUGCACCGUCCACCUGGAUUCCCAGAAGCACGUUGACUUCUCCCUCCGCUCUCCAGACGGGGGUGGCCGCCCAGGCCGCGUGAAGAGGAAAAAUGCCAAGAAGGGCCAGGGUGGGGCGGGAGCUGGAGAGGGCGAGGAGGAGGAUUAAGCCCAUCCAGGUGCCCUUCCUGGGCUGGUGAAUGGUCUAGAUUUACAGUCAGAUAAUAAAAGAUCAACGCUUA